rnacentral:rRNA from 1 species
AGCGAACGUUUGCGGCGGGCUUAACACAUGCAAGUCGAACGGGCUGUUCCUUCGGGGGCAGUCAGUGGCGCACGGGUGAGUAACACGUAGGUAAUCUACCCUUUGGCGGGGGAUAACGUUCCGAAAGGAGCGCUAAUACCGCAUAAGACCACGGAGUCUCCGGACGCUGUGGGAAAAGGUGGCCUCUUCUUGAAAGCUACCACCGAAGGAUGAGCCUGCGUCCCAUCAGCUAGUUGGUAAGGUAAUGGCUUACCAAGGCGAAGACGGGUAGCUGGUUUGGGAGAAUGAUCAGCCACACUGGCACUGGAACACGGGCCAGACUCCUACGGGAGGCAGCAGUGAGGAAUAUUGGGCAAUGGGCGAAAGCCUGACCCAGCCACGCCGCGUGAGUGAUGAAGGCCCUCGGGUCGUAAAGCUCUGUGGAGAGGGACGAAAACCCUGGUUUCAAAUAGGCUCCAGGCUUGACGGUACCUCUUUAGCAAGCACCGGCUAACUCUGUGCCAGCAGCCGCGGUAAAG